UCCUCAUGUGGUUCCAAGUUAGAUUUAUUC
rnacentral:piRNA from 1 species